UACGUAGGGUGCGAGCGUUGCCCGGAUUUAUUGGGCGUAAAGGGCGCGUAGGCGGCCACGCACGUCCGUUGUGAAAUCGCCCGGCUCAACUGGGCGGGGUCAGCGGAUACGGUGUGGCUAGAGCAAGCUAGGGGGCAAUGGAAUUCCUGGUGUAGCGGUGAAAUGCGCAGAUAUCAGGAGGAACACCGGUGGCGAAGGCGGGUCUCUGGGCAACAACUGACGCUGAGGAGCGAAAGCGUGGGGAGCGAACAGG
rnacentral:rRNA from 1 species